AUGGUAGCUGUGGGUGAAGUUGCUGUAGCAGCAGCUCUGAGUCAUGAAGUGUUAAAGUCACAGCGCUAUAAACACUCCCAGAGCACUGAAGCAUGUGCUGCCAAUGCAAAGUGUCCUCUAAGUAUGGAAACACCUUUACCGCAUUCCCCCAAUCUUACUCCAUUAAACCUGUUUGUAUCACUGUGGGUCACUUUUGGUGGAGGAACCAAACUGUCUGUGGGCCGUCUUACCCAGCCCACUGUGACAGUUCUGCCUCCCUCCAGUGUGGACCUGCAGCAGGAGAAGGUCACACUCAUGUGUGUGGCCUAUAAGGGCUUCCCCUCGGACUGGAGGCUGAGCUGGAAGGUUGAUGGGAGCAGCUUGAGCUCGGGGGAGAGCCACAGCACCGCCGUUCUGCACGCGGACGGCCUCUACAGCUGGAGCAGCACGCUGAGCAUCCACCCGGAGCAGUGGAGGAACAAGGUGGUGACCUGUGAGGCCUCCAAUGACAACCAACCUCCUGUGGUGAGCUCAGUGGACAGAGAGCAGUGCUAAGAGCUGUGAGCUCACACUCACUUUACUCAGCUCACCUUCUACUGCUUCACUGUGUGUUACAUGUGGCCCACUUUCAUAAUUUCAUGUGCGGUAUUAAUGUCAGUUCACACACUCCUCAGUUUAAAUCAGCUCUUCUUCUUCAUUAUCACCUAAAUAUGUGUUAAGUGUGUUUAUCACUGCAAUGUCCUGCUUUGAAUUAUUAAUAAAAGCCUUUGAAUCAGUAAA